AUCCAGCUGAUGAAGAGUUUCAAAUAGGGCGAAACGCACGUCCUGGAU
rfam:Schistosoma haematobium scaffold810_14, whole genome shotgun sequence.